AGUAUCAACCAGUAUAGACCUGCAUGGACCAGUAUUGACCGCUGUUUCGACCAGUAUGGACCAGUAUAGACCGGUAUCAACCAGUAUAGACCAGUAUCGACCAGUAUGGACCAGUAUGGACCAGUAUAGACCACUAUGGACCAGUAUAGACCAGUAUUGACCAGUAUAGACCAGUAUAGACCAGUAUCAACCAAUAUAGACCAGCAUGGACCAGUAUAGAACACUGUUUCGACCAGUAUAGACCAGUAUCGACCAGUAUCAACCAGUAUGGACCAGUAUCAAUCAGCAUGGACCAGUAUAGCCCCUCCCAGUCCCUCCCAGUAUAAACCAGUCCCUCCCAGUCCCUCCCAGUCCCAUCCCAGUCCAUCCCAGUCUCAUCCCAGUCCCUCCCAGUAUAACCCACUCCCAUCCCAGUAUAACCCAGUCCCUCCCAGUCCCUCCCAGUAUAGCCCAGUCCCAUCCCAGUCCAUCCCAGUCCCUUCCAGUCGAUCCCAGUCCCAUCCCAGUCCCAUCCCAGUCCAUCCCAGUAUAGCCCAGUCCCAUCCCAGUAUAACCCACUUCCAUCCCAGUCCCUCCCAGUCCCAUCC
rnacentral:lncRNA from 1 species